rnacentral:tRNA from 1 species
GGCAGUGUGGCCGAGUGGUUAGGGCGCCGGACUUAAAAUCCGGAGGUCGCGGGUUUAAGUCCCGCUCUGACCA